GUAGUCCACGCCCUAAACGAUGUCGACUGGUUGUUGGGGAAGGUAACUUCCUUAGUAACGAAGCUAACGCGUGAAGUCGACCGCCUGGGGAGUACGGCCGCAAGGUUAAAACUCAAAGGAAUUGACGGGGACCCGCACAAGCGGUGGAUGAUGUGGAUUAAUUCGAUGCAACGCGAAGAACCUUACCUACCCUUGACAUGCCAGGAACCUCGGUGAGAGCCGGGGGUGCCCGAAAGGGAACCUGGACACAGGUGCUGCAUGGCUGUCGUCAGCUCGUGUCGUGAGAUGUUGGGUUAAGUCCCGCAACGAGCGCAACCCUUGUCACUAGUUGCUACGCAAGGGCACUCUAGUGAGACUGCCGGUGACAAACCGGAGGAAGGUGGGGAUGACGUCAAGUCCUCAUGGCCCUUAUGGGUAGGGCUUCACACGUCAUACAAUGGCGCAUACAGAGGGCUGCCAACCCGCGAGGGGGAGCCAAUCCCAGAAAGUGCGUCGUAGUCCGGAUUGUUCUCUGCAACUCGAGAGCAUGAAGUCGGAAUCGCUAGUAAUCGCGGAUCAGCAUGUCGCGGUGAAUA
rnacentral:rRNA from 1 species